rnacentral:rRNA from 1 species
CACGUAGGGGACGAGCGUUGUCCGGAUUCAUUGGGCGUAAAGCGCGUGUAGGCGGCUUUGCAAGUCGGGCGUGAAAUCCCAUGGCUCAACCAUGGAAGUGCACUCGAAACUGCAGAGCUAGAGUCCUGGAGAGGAAGGUGGAAUGCUUGGUGUAGAGGUGAAAUUCGUAGAUAUCAAGCGGAACACCGGUGGCGAAGGCGGCCUUCUGGACAGUGACUGACGCUGAGACGCGAAAGCGUGGGGAGCAAACAGG